UGUUAGUGGAAGCGUCUGGAAAGGCGCGUGAUACAGGGUGACAGCCCCGUACACAAAAAUGCACAUGCUGUGAGCUCGAUGAGUAGGGCGGGACACGUGGUAUCCUGUCUGAAUAUGGGGGGACCAUCCUCCAAGGCUAAAUACUCCUGACUGACCGAUAGUGAACCAGUACCGUGAGGGAAAGGCGAAAAGAACCCCGGCGAGGGGAGUGAAAAAGAACCUGAAACCGUGUACGUACAAGCAGUGGGAGCACGCUUAGGCGUGUGACUGCGUACCUUUUGUAUAAUGGGUCAGCGACUUAUAUUCUGUAGCAAGGUUAACCGAAUAGGGGAGCCGAAGGGAAACCGAGUCUUAACUGGGCGUUAAGUUGCAGGGUAUAGACCCGAAACCCGGUGAUCUAGCCAUGGGCAGGUUGAAGGUUGGGUAACACUAACUGGAGGACCGAACCGACUAAUGUUGAAAAAUUAGCGGAUGACUUGUGGCUGGGGGUGAAAGGCCAAUCAAACCGGGAGAUAGCUGGUUCUCCCCGAAAGCUAUUUAGGUAGCGCCUCGUGAAUUCAUCUCCGGGGGUAGAGCACUGUUUCGGCAAGGGGGUCAUCCCGACUUACCAACCCGAUGCAAACUGCGAAUACCGGAGAAUGUUAUCACGGGAGACACACGGCGGGUGCUAACGUCCGUCGUGAAGAGGGAAACAACCCAGACCGCCAGCUAAGGUCCCAAAGUCAUGGUUAAGUGGGAAACGAUGUGGGAAGGCCCAGACAGCCAGGAUGUUGGCUUAGAAGCAGCCAUCAUUUAAAGAAAGCGUAAUAGCUCACUGGUCGAGUCGGCCUGCGCGGAAGAUGUAACGGGGCUAAACCAUGCACCGAAGCUGCGGCAGCGACGCUUAUGCGUUGUUGGGUAGGGGAGCGUUCUGUAAGCCUGUGAAGGUGUACUGUGAGGUAUGCUGGAGGUAUCAGAAGUGCGAAUGCUGACAUAAGUAACGAUAAAGCGGGUGAAAAGCCCGCUCGCCGGAAGACCAAGGGUUCCUGUCCAACGUUAAUCGGGGCAGGGUGAGUCGACCCCUAAGGCGAGGCCGAAAGGCGUAGUCGAUGGGAAACAGGUUAAUAUUCCUGUACUUGGUGUUACUGCGAAGGGGGGACGGAGAAGGCUAUGUUGGCCGGGCGACGGUUGUCCCGGUUUAAGCGUGUAGGCUGGUUUUCCAGGCAAAUCCGGAAAAUCAAGGCUGAGGCGUGAUGACGAGGCACUACGGUGCUGAAGCAACAAAUGCCCUGCUUCCAGGAAAAGCCUCUAAGCAUCAGGUAACAUCAAAUCGUACCCCAAACCGACACAGGUGGUCAGGUAGAGAAUACCAAGGCGCUUGAGAGAACUCGGGUGAAGGAACUAGGCAAAAUGGUGCCGUAACUUCGGGAGAAGGCACGCUGAUAUGUAGGUGAAGUCCCUCGCGGAUGGAGCUGAAAUCAGUCGAAGAUACCAGCUGGCUGCAACUGUUUAUUAAAAACACAGCACUGUGCAAACACGAAAGUGGACGUAUA
rnacentral:rRNA from 1 species